rnacentral:rRNA from 1 species
GACGAACGCUGGCGGCGUGCCUAAUACAUGCAAGUUGAGCGCUGAAGGUUGGUACUUGUACCAACUGGAUGAGCAGCGAACGGGUGAGUAACGCGUGGGGAAUCUGCCUUUGAGCGGGGGACAACAUUUGGAAACGAAUGCUAAUACCGCAUAAAAACUUUAAACACAAGUUUUAAGUUUGAAAGAUGCAAUUGCAUCACUCAAAGAUGAUCCCGCGUUGUAUUAGCUAGUUGGUGAGGUAAAGGCUCACCAAGGCGAUGAUACAUAGCCGACCUGAGAGGGUGGUCGGCCACAUUGGGACUGAGACACGGCCCAAACUCCUACGGGAGGCAGCAGUAGGGAAUCUUCGGCCAUGGACGAAAGUCUGACCGAGCAACGCCGCGUGAGUGAAGAAGGUUUUCGGAUCGUAAAACUCUGUUGGUAGAGAAGAACGUUGGUGAGAGUGGAAAGCUCAUCAAGUGACGGUAACUACCCAGAAAGGGACGGCUAACUACGUG